GUUCUCGUGGUGCAAUAGGCAGACACGCGUGGUUUAGAACCAUGAUGUUGCGGGUUCGACUCCCGCCGGGAACA
rnacentral:tRNA from 1 species